rnacentral:rRNA from 1 species
UAGGGAAUCUUCCACAAUGGACGCAAGUCUGAUGGAGCAACGCCGCGUGAGUGAAGAAGGUUUUCGGACCGUAAAGCUCUGUUGUUGGUGAAGAAGGAUAGAGGUAGUAACUGGCCUUUAUUUGACGGUAAUCAACCAGAAAGUCACGGCUAACUACGUGCCAGCAGCCGCGGUAAUACGUAGGUGGCAAGCGUUGUCCGGAUUUAUUGGGCGUAAAGCGAGCGCAGGCGGAAGAAUAAGUCUGAUGUGAAAGCCCUCGGCUUAACCGAGGAAUUGCAUCGGAAACUGUUUUCUUGAGUGCAGAAGAGGAGAGUAGAACUCCAUGUGUAGCGGUGGAAUGCGUAGAUAUAUGGAAGAAUACCAGUGGCGAAGGCGGCUCUCUGGUCUGCAACUGACGCUGAGGCUCGAAAGCAUGGGUAGCGAACAGGAUUAGAUACCCUGGUAGCCAUGCCGUAAACGAUGAGUGCUAAGUGUUGGGAGGCUUCCGCCUCUCAGUGCUGCAGCUAACGCAUUAAGCACUCCGCCUGGGGGAGUACGACCGCAAGGUUGAAAC